AGUGAACGCUGGCGGUAGGCCUAACACAUGCAAGUCGAACGGCAGCACAGUAAGAGCUUGCUCUUACGGGUGGCGAGUGGCGGACGGGUGAGGAAUACAUCGGAAUCUACUUUUUCGUGGGGGAUAACGUAGGGAAACUUACGCUAAUACCGCAUACGACCUACGGGUGAAAGCAGGGGAUCUUCGGACCUUGCGCGAUUGAAUGAGCCGAUGUCGGAUUAGCUAGUUGGCGGGGUAAAGGCCCACCAAGGCGACGAUCCGUAGCUGGUCUGAGAGGAUGAUCAGCCACACUGGAACUGAGACACGGUCCAGACUCCUACGGGGGGCAGCAGUGGGGAAUAUUUGACAAUGGGCGCAAGCCUGAUCCAGCCAUACCGCGUGGGUGAAGAAGGCCUUCGGGUUGUAAAGCCCUUUUGUUGGGAAAGAAAAGCAGCAGGUUAAUACCCCGCUGUUCUGACGGUACCCAAAGAAUAAGCACCGGCUAACUUCGUG
rnacentral:rRNA from 1 species